rnacentral:rRNA from 1 species
UGCCUGAUGGAGGGGGAUAACUACUGGAAACUGUAUCUAAUACCGCAUAAUGUCUACAGACCAGAGUGGGGGACCUUCGGGCCUCAUGCCAUCAUAUGUGCCCAAAUGGGAUUAUCUAGUAGGUGGGGUAAUGGCUCACCUAGGCCACUAUCCCUAUCUGGUCUGAGAAGAUGACCACCCACACUGAAACUGAGACACGGCCCACACUCCUACGGGAGGCAGCAGUGGGUAAUAUUGCACAGUGGGCGCGAGCCUGAUGCACCCAUGCCGCGUGUGAGAACAACGCCUUCGGGUUGUAAUUCACUUUCAGCGAAGAGGAAGGGUUUUGUGUUAAUAGCACUUUACAUUGACUUUACACGCAGAAAAAGCACCCUCUAUCUCCGCGCCCGCAGCCGCGGUAAUACAGAGGGCGCAAGUGUUAAUCACAAUUACUGGGCGUAGCGCACACGCAUGCGGUUUGUUAAUUCAUAUGUGAACUCCCCGCGCUUAACGUGGGAUCUGCAUUUGAAACUGGAAAGCUAGACUCAUGUAGAGGGGGGUAGAAUUCCAGGUGUAGCGGUGAUAUGCAUAGAGAUCAAGAAGAAUACCGGUGGCAAAC